rnacentral:tRNA from 2 species
GCUCUAGUAGCUCAGAUGGCAGAGCGCUUGCAUGGUAAGCAAGAGGUAGGUGGUUCAAUUCCACUCUGGAGCACCA